AACGAACGCUGGCGGCAUGCCUAACACAUGCAAGUCGAACGAGACCUUCGGAACUAGUGGCGCACGCGUGCGUCACGCGUGGGAACCUGCCCUUAGGUUCGGAAUAACACCCUGACAGGGGUGCUAAUACCGGAUAACUUACUCGGAUCAAACAUUUAUCGUCCUUGUAUGAGCACGCGUUGGAUUAGCUAGUCGGUAUGGUAAAAGCCUACCAAGGCGACGCUACAUAGCUGGUCUGAGAGAAAGAUCAGCGACACUGGGACUGAGACGCGGCGCAGACUCCUAGGCGAGGCGGCAGUGGGUAAUAUUGGACAAUGGGGUGAGUGCUGAUCCAGCAAUGCCUCGUGAGUCAUGAAGGCGUGAGAGUUGUAAAGCUCUUUUACCCGCGAUGAUAAUGACAGUACCGGAAGAAUAAGCUCCGGCUAACUCCGUG
rnacentral:rRNA from 1 species